AGUGAACGCUGGCGGUAGGCCUAACACAUGCAAGUCGAACGGCAGCACAGUAAGAGCUUGCUCUUACGGGUGGCGAGUGGCGGACGGGUGAGGAAUACAUCGGAAUCUACUUUUUCGUGGGGGUUAACGUAGGGAAACUUACGCUAAUACCGCAUACGACCUACGGGUGAAAGCAGGGGAUCUUCGGACCUUGCGCGAUUGAAUGAGCCGAUGUCGGAUUAGCUAGUUGGCGGGGUAAAGGCCCACCAAGGGGACGAUCCGUAGCUGGUCUGAGAGGAUGAUCAGCCACACUGGAACUGAGACACGGUCCAGACUCCUACGGGAGGCAGCAGUGGGGAAUAUUGGACAAUGGGCGCAAGCCUGAUCCAGCCAUACCGCGUGGGUGAAGAAGGCCUUCGGGUUGUAAAGCCCUUUUGUUGGGAAAGAAAAGCAGCAGGUUAAUACCCCGCUGUUCUGACGGUACCCAAAGAAUAAGCACCGGCUAACUUCGUG
rnacentral:rRNA from 1 species